UGGGGAAUAUUGGACAAUGGGCGAAAGCCUGAUCCAGCAAUGCCGCGUGAGUGAAGAAGGCCUUAGGGUUGUAAAGCUCUUUCGCCUGCGACGAUGAUGACGGUAGCAGGAGAAGAAGCCCCGGCUAAUUCCGUGCCAGCAGCCGCGGUAAUACGGAAGGGGCUAGCGUUGUUCGGAAUCACUGGGCGUAAAGCGCGCGUAGGCGGCUUGGCAAGUGAGGCGUGAAAGUCCUGGGCUCAACCCGGGGACGGCGUUUCAGACUGCUUGGCUAGAGUCCGGAAGAGGGUGGUGGAAUUCCGAGUGUAGAGGUGAAAUUCGUAGAUAUUCGGAGGAACACCGGCGGCGAAGGCGGCCACCUGGUCCGGAACUGACGCUCAAGUGCGAAAGCGUGGGGAGCAAAC
rnacentral:rRNA from 1 species